AUGAUUUUCUAUUAAAUCCUUAUGUUUUCACAUUUUCAGUUAGUGGUUUUGUACUAUUAAAAAACUCUUGCCAACUUUUGCAUAUAGUAAUACUCAACAGGGGUGGAGCAUACUCCUCUAUCAGACAAAUUAGGAUUAUGUAAAUUGUUUUUGGCCUUGAGGAUUUAUUUUCUUAUCUCCGUUAUUUUUGUUGAUUAAUUUUCAGGGUUGCACAGAUCGAAUUGUUUUCAAACUCUUUAGAAAAGAUCCAAGUGAUUUCCCUAUUGUCCUGCGGAAACAGAUACUUGACUGGUUAUCUCACAGUCCUACUGAAAUUGAAAGCUACAUAAGACCUAGCUGUAUCAUAUUAACUAUCUAUCUUUGAUUAGGGAAAUCCACAUGGGAGGAGCUUUACUGUGAUCUAAGCUCCAGUUUGACCACCAGUCAUUGAAAUUGCAUCAAAGAGAGGUUUUUUUUUUUCUUUUCUUUCCUUACUAUUUUCUUUUUGACGCUAAGCUAUAAUGGGAGGGAUUUCACGGUUCAUGUGCAUUACAAAUCAGCAUUUGUAUUUGGCUUUGGUUGAAUGAUAGACCAUUGUGUUCCAUAUAAUUCCAGCCUGUUUUUAUCUAGAAUAUGAUGCAAUCAACUAUUUAUUUUUCACUUUAGUACUGGCUCAAUAUGUUCGGCUUUUUAUUCAGAUAUCAGAUACCACUACUAGAGAUUUGAUUUUUUGAGUGUGUGAGCGUGCCAUUUAUAGUAUGAUCAAACACAAGUGUGUGGUUAUAAUACUUUCCACUUGUACAAUGAACAUUUUGACCUAGCUUCUGGUGAGUAGGGCUCCAAAGAUACAGCGACUGGUAACUCCACUGACUCUGCAGAUGAAGUGAGCUAGGAUUGCAGAGAAUAAGAAGAGAAUUGCAAAGGCCAAGGAAGAGGCAGUCGAAUAAUACAUACUCCUCGCCACUAGGUUGAUUUCCGUAAUUGAUUGCUUAUUAUACCAUUUU